rnacentral:rRNA from 1 species
UACAGAGGUCUCAAGCGUUGUUCGGAUUCAUUGGGCGUAAAGGGUGCGUAGGUGGCGUGGUAAGUCGGGUGUGAAAUUUCGGAGCUUAACUCCGAAACUGCAUUCGAUACUGCCGUGCUUGAGGACUGGAGAGGAGACUGGAAUUUACGGUGUAGCGGUGAAAUGCGUAGAUAUCGUAAGGAAGACCAGUGGCGAAGGCGGGUCUCUGGACAGUUCCUGACGCUGAGGCACGAAGGUCAGGGGAGCAAACG